GGGGGUGUCAAGGUUUCGACUUAGAAGUGAGGCAUAGGUGGCAUGCAGAGGAUGAUCGGUUGGCCUCUUUAAUCUUCCGAUUAAACAAUAAACGACGAAUCUUACGAUUUGUCCCUCAACGCUGCUUAACCGCAGUUUGUGAGGCGGUAGCCUGAGAUCUGACCGGGAGUUUCAGAUGUCUACUGUCAUACGUCUUGGUAUGAACCCUUUCCCUUUGGGAUGAUCUAGGAAGGAGUUCGAGAUAGAGAAAGUCCAGUUAGCCCUUUGCGAUCCGAGCUUUUCGUCAGGCUAAUUUAUUUUUAAGGCUCUAAGCAUGUAGUCAUCGAUGUUCCGAGUUUGCUAAGGACGAGAGUUCAAUUCUCUCCACCUCCAA
rnacentral:tmRNA from 6 species